rnacentral:misc_RNA from 1 species
GAAAUGCGAUAAGUAAUGUGAAUUGCAGAAUUCAGUGAAUCAUCGAAUCUUUGAACGCACAUUGCGCCCGCCAGUAUUCUGGCGGGCAUGCCUGUUCGAGCGUCAUUUCAACCCUCAAGCUCAGCUUGGUGUUGGGGAUCGGCAGGGCGUCCUCCGGGUCGCGCCGUCCCCCAAAUAUAGUGGCGGUCUCGCUGUAGCUUCCUCUGCGUAUUAAUACACCUCGCACUGGAGUCUCGGCGCGGCCACGCCGUUAAACCCCCAACUUUUUCUGGUUGACCUCGAAUCAGGUAGGACUACCCGCUGAACUUAAGC